rnacentral:lncRNA from 1 species
UAAUCAUUUCUACAGGGAUGGGGGCUGCAGGACGGCUGACUAGUAGUCAAGGCAAUUUCCCUGUAAGAAGAUGCUGAUGGCUCAGCCCCACAAAAGACAGCUAUUUAAUACUCACAUUCAUCCAGGACUUCAGCCCCUGACUCACAGUCCUGUACCCCAACUUCUACCAUCAACUAAGGGACCCGUUGCCUUUAAGAAGCUAUUUUUGGUGGUGGUACAAUGUCCUGACACCUUUUACUGAGCAAAAUGGACACAUCUGUUGAAAUUAACAUUUGUA